rnacentral:rRNA from 1 species
UACGGAGGGUGCAAACGUUGCUCGGAAUCAUUGGGCGUAAAGCGCGUGUAGGCGGCUUGUUAAGUCGGGUGUGAAAGCCCUCAGCUCAACUGAGGAAGUGCGCCCGAAACUGCAGAGCUUGAGUGCCGGAGAGGGUGGCGGAAUUCCCCAAGUAGAGGUGAAAUUCGUAGAUAUGGGGAGGAACACCGGUGGCGAAGGCGGCCACCUGGACGGUAACUGACGCUGAGGCGCGAAAGCGUGGGGAGCAAACAGG